UACAGAGACUGCAAGCGUUAUUCGGAAUCACUGGGCGUAAAGCGCACGUAGGCGGACUCUUAAGUCGGUGGUGAAAUCCUGGAGCUCAACUCCAGAACUGCCUUCGAUACUGAGAGUCUUGAGUCCGGGAGAGGUGAGUGGAACUGCGAGUGUAGAGGUGAAAUUCGUAGAUAUUCGCAAGAACACCAGUGGCGAAGGCGGCUCACUGGCCCGGUACUGACGCUGAGGUGCGAAAGCGUGGGGAGCAAACAGG
rnacentral:rRNA from 1 species